UUCUGAUUACACGUUACCGUAUUUGAUUUUAUUCAAUUAGUUUAAGUAUAUUUGAUGAAUUAUUAUAAACAAAAAAAAAUUUGAAAUUAUUUAACAACGUCAUUGAGUAUUCAUCUAUAAGAAACAAAGAGGUAACGAUAUGGUCAAUAUGGAAAAACUGAGCACAAAACAGUUGGGACAGCUAUAUAGUCUCUUACCUUCGGUCGAGACCAAUCGACUGCGAACAAGGUCAACUUUAUUUCCAACAAGGAUCACUGCUCGAGCUGAUACAUAAUCGCUGCGCCAAAGUGUUUGCAAAACUUCUUCUGCUACGCGUAUUGAAGCUCGAUCGGUUGUAGAAUAGACGACGCAAUAAGCAUGUGGUUCAUAUGUGGUUAUACAAGCUUCCGGCUAUAAAAAAUAUUGUUCGAAGAAAUUUUAUAAUUCAACAAUUUUCAUUAUGAUUAUCAAUAUAUUAAUUAUUAAUUUAAAACAUUAA